UGAGCACAUUUGACAGUAGACGCCGGUGUAGACACAUUUUUAAUGUUCGCCAUUUUAAUUUCACAAAACGAAAAAGUGCAGUCGGAAGAAAAAAUUAUUCAUUAACUAAUUUUCAAUUGUACAAGAAGGUCUUGUAGAAAAGAAGUCGUGUAAAGCAAAAAUAUUAAAAUUAUAUUUAAAUUUUAAAUCGGAAAACAAUUAAAAAUAUAAAAUAAAAUAUGUCUGAUUAUCGUUCGCAAUCUCGUGAUGGAAAUCGUGAAGGUGGUCGUGGAGGCGGCGGCCGUAAUGAUUACAGUGACGAUGACCCACCAAUGUCUCGUUUAUUCAUUAUCUGUAAUAAGGCUCAUACCGAAGAAGAUUUUCGUGAGGCUUUUUCGCCCUUCGGUGAAAUUGAAGAUAUUUGGGUUGUAAAAGAUAAACACACUGGAGACAACAAAGGUAUUGCCUAUGUUAAGUAUGCCAAGACCUCAGAUGCCGCCAAGGCUCAGGAAGAAAUGAAUGGCAAAACAAUUGGUACAUUGGAUCGUACUUUGAAGGUUUUAGUGGCUGCCAAUCGAAAUCAAGGAUCGAGUAAAUCAGAUAAUGAACAUGAAAAAUAUGUGCGACUUUUCAUAGUUUGUCCUAAAACAGCAACCGAAGAUGAAUUACGCGAAGAAUUUAAACAGUGGGGUCCCAUAGAAAACGUCACCAUAGUAAGAGAUAAACAAACUGGAACACCCAAAGGAUUUGGUUACGUUCGUUAUUCAAAAUUCUAUCAUGCUGCUGUAGCCUAUGAAAAUUGUCCUUCAAAAUAUAAAGCGGUCUUUGCGGAACCAAAAGGCUCAAACUCGCGCAAUCAACGCGAAGAAUUUGGCGGACGCAAUGAUAAUACAAUGAUGAGUGGUGGCAAUCGUGGUGGCGGAAAUAUGGGUGCUGGAUUUGGUGGUGGCAAUAGUAUGGGUGGUGGUAGUGUUGGUGGUAUGGGUGGAUCUGGUAUGAAUAGUGGUGGAUUUAACAAUGGCGGUGGUUUCAAUAAUGAUUGGGGUAACAAUUCUUUCAACAACGAUAUGUCACAAUUUUUGCGUAUGCAAAAUGUUCAAGUACCACAACCCACAUGCUUGGAAGUUAUUGUUAGUACUUGUGUUAAUCAGGAUCAAUUGUGGCGUUUAUUUGAUAUCAUUCCUGGUUUGGACUAUUGUCAAAUCACCAAAGAAUAUGGACCUCGUACAAAUGAGGCAAUUGUGGUCUAUGACAAUCCUGAGGCUGCUAUAUAUGCCAAGGACAAAUUACAUGGUCUUGAAUAUCCAGUGGGCGAACGUUUAAUUGUUAAAGUGUCUGGAAUGAGCUCAUCACGCAUUGAUACAUCUUUUAUUGAUAAGCGCACUAGAAAGGAUUCCAUUUGCAACGUACCAUUACCACCAUCUCAGCCAAUGGCAUCUAGCGAUGCUCCCGUUGCACAACGCUUAUUUAUUGUUUUGGCAUCGAAUUUACCUGUUUCUAUAUUGAAAAAUGUAUUCUCCUGCUGGAAAGGUCUAAUUGAUGUGUAUUUGCUGCCAAAUAAAAAUUGUGGUUAUGUCAAAUAUGCUGAUAGAGAUUCUGCACAAAAAGCCAUACAAAUUUUAAAUGGUGCCGAAAUUUGUGGCUCUAAAUUGAAGGUUAUGGAGGCAGAAGAAAGAGGCAAUGGUAGUGAUGGUGAUGAUGGCAGCCGCAAACGUAUGCGACGCAAUUAAAAAAAAACGUAAGUACUUUUACUUACAAAUAUUUUUUAACACUUUUUCCAAAAGUAUUUUAAAGUUUAAACGCUUUAGUUCUACUUUAAAGAAGGAGACAUCAAUAAAAUGAACGAAUGUACUAAACGAAAACAGAAUGAAACACAAUAUUUACUUGAAUGAUAAACUGACAGCUACGGAACAUAAAUUAACCACAACCACUGGAAAUAAGAAAACAAAACGGAUAAAAGAGCAAAAAGAAAAGGACUUGUAAGUAAAACCUGGACCUAUUAUCUAGCACUACAACUACAAACAAAAUUCCCCAACAAACUCAGACUACUACAACUAUUAUUACUAAUACUACUCUACUAUAUAUACUAUGUAUAAGAUCUUGAAAUCAACUUGAAUAAUGACUAGACAACCAAGAUUUUUUUUGGAAUGGGAGAAUGUUGAGAAUACGCUUACUAAUAUAAAUAAAGACGAUGCUGGAAAACAAAGAACUAAAAAGAACUUUUAACCACACAAAUCGUACCUCUCAUUACCCAUUACAAAAACAAACAAAAAAAAAAUAAAAUAAAUAAAUUUCUUAAACUCUUGAUGAUGAAUAAGUAGCAACACA